rnacentral:misc_RNA from 1 species
GAACAAAUCAGGUUUCAGGGGAUUACGGAGAAAGAAAAGAACAGGAAAAAGGAACAUACCACAGAAUCGUAAGUGUCGGGAAUCGAGUCUGAUAAGGCAGAGCGCUUAGUUCCUCUCAUGAUUUUGAACAAAUCUUGUAAAAGCGAAAAAUAGUGAAAGAUUUAGGGUUUUCCAAAAUUUUACAACUUUUUUCUUUUUUUUU